ensembl:lncRNA
AUGCAGUUUUCCAGACACUCACUAACAAGCUCUGUAUUGUUGCUUCAAAAGCUGUUUGCUAAAGCUGAAACCAUGAAGGCUCUGGUCUGCGUUCUUGUUCUGAUGCUUGUGUGCAGCACUACCGUGCACUCCCUCCAGUGCUUCACCUGUGAGGGCGACGACUGCAAGGUCAGAACCGAAUGCCCCCCAUCUGCCAACUUCUGCAAGACAGAGGCCACCGCAAAUUUUUUGUCCCGCACAUGUGAGGAGUCCUGCACACCAGGGGAGAACGUCCACUGCUGCGAUCAGGACUUGUGCGGCUGAACAUCUCUUUGUCCAGUCUACAAAGAGCCUUGUUAUGCUUGAAGAAUCAUUCAUCAGUUAUUAA